UAGGGAAUAUUGGUAAUGUGCGAAAGCGCGAACCAGCAACGCCGCGUGCACGAUGAAGGCCUUCGGGUUGUAAAGUGCUUUUAGAGAGGAUGAGGAAGGACAGUACUUUCUGAAUAAGCCUCGGCUAACUACGUGCCAGCAGCCGCGGUAAAACGUAGGAGGCUAGCGUUAUCCGGAUUUACUGGGCGUAAAGCGCGUGCAGGUGGUUUCGUAAGUUGGAUGUGAAAGCUCCUGGCUUAACUGGGAGAGGUCGUUCAAAACUGCGAGGCUUGAGAGUGGUAGAGGGAGGUGGAAUUCCGGGUGUAGUGGUGAAAUGCGUAGAUAUCCGGAGGAACACCAGUGGCGAAAGCGGCCUCCUGGACCAUUUCUGACACUCAGACGCGAAAGCUAAGGUAGCAAACGGGAUUAGAGACCCCGGUAGUCUUAGCUGUAAACGAUGUGAACUUGGCGUCGGUGGGUUUAAAUUCAUCGGUGCCGAAGCUAACGCGAUAAGUUCACCGCCUGGGGACUACGGCCGCAAGGUUAAAACUCAAAGGAAUUGACGGGG
rnacentral:rRNA from 1 species